rnacentral:rRNA from 1 species
AUGGACGAACGCGGCCGUUUCGACGAGCCUGCGGCGCGCCGCCUGUUCGUCCAGCUCGUCUCCGCGCUGGCGCACGUGCACUCGCGCGGCGUGUUCCACCGCGACGUGAAGCCGGAGAACCUCCUGCUGGACGAGCACGGCGACCUGAAGCUGACGGACUUCGGGCUGUGCGUCCUCGCCGACCGGCAUCUCGGCGCCGACGGCCUCGCGGCCACGAGCUGCGGGUCCCCGGCCUACGUCGCGCCGGAGAUCCUGUACAAGAAGCGGUACGACGCCGGCAAGGUCGACGUGUGGUCCUCGGGCGUGGCGCUCUUCUCGCUCACGGCCGGCUACCUGCCGUUCAACGACGGCAACCUCAUGGGCAUGUACCGCAAGAUCUUCUCUGGCAGAUUCCGGUGCCCCAGGUGGUUCUCGCCGGAGCUGCGGAGCCUCAUCGGCCGGAUGCUGGACCCAGACGCCGACAUGCGCAUCAAGAUAUGUGAGAUCAUGGAGCACCCUUGGGUACAACAAGACGGGACGUCGUCGUUUGACAUCAUUCAAGCUCGUUCCUCUGAUCCUAGGCCGGAAGUGAUGAAAUGGGAAGCAGAAAUGGAGCAAGUGAGGGAACUGAACGCGUUCGACAUAAUCGCGUUCGCGUCGGGAUGCGAUCUGAGCGGGUUGUUUGGUCCAUUGCCGGACCGGGUUCGAUUUGCUGUACAAGGUGUGGACAUUGGGUCAGUGCUGGAUAAGGCUGAGGAGAUUGGGCGCAAGGAGGGGUUCACGGUGAGGAGGAAGGAAGAAGUUGGGUGCGGUGGGGUCAUGUUUGAGGCGAUUGGUAGGGAGGUCAUUGCCCUGGUUAGGGUUAGUCGGUUGUUAGAGGAAAUGUUGAUGGUUGAGGUGGAAAGAGCUAGCUCAAGUGAGGCACCUAAUUUGUGGGAGAGGCUUCAGCUAGGUCUUAAACUCUCAAAUGAUUGA